rnacentral:lncRNA from 1 species
UCAAAAUGGUAUAUGAAUUUAACCUGCACACCUUUUCAUGUGUAUGUUUGUUUAGCAGGUCAUGUGUUUCAACCACUUUCACAAAAACAAAGUGUGGAAUACAAGAAGAUGCAGCUGAAGCCUAACCUGUACAGAACCACCAUCAAGCCCCACAGAAAAACACUUCACACCAGUUUAGAGCAGCCUUUACCUCAUGUCCUAGCUCACACAAAAUAUGGUGCAUUUGCAUCUACAGGAAGAGGAGAACAUCCAUCCAGGAGAAUUCAGGAGAGUAGACAAGGAGAACUAUCCUUCUGUAAUUCCAGGCGGUGAGUAAUUGAGAUCUCUCCCUCUCUUCCCCCAGCUGCAGAGUUUAGGAGUAUAGGUGGGAGGACGUUGCGGCUAAGCUUCCCUCGAGUACAGGCUGCAGAGCCAGCGGGAGCAUCCGUCCCCUUCCUCUGUUGUUUUUGGCACAAAAUACCAUCCCCUCCCCUGCUCACGCUCCCUCAGCCUACAACCCCCAACCUCUGCCUGUUACCCCAACGUCCCAUAUUCAUCCCCGCACACAGCUGUAGCACUCUUAGUGACCCUGACUGUUAUCGCACACACCAACAAACACUCAAGUUUAGACAGAUAGUCGAGAAGAGUCCUAAAAAUAAAGGUUUCGAAGGAGG